rnacentral:rRNA from 1 species
CAAACUCCCGAGCGUUAUUCGGAAUCACUGGGCGUANAGGGAGCGUAGGCUGUACGGUAAGUCAGAUGUGAAAUCUCAGAGCUCAACUCUGAAACUGCAUCCGAUACUGCCGUACUAGAGUAAUGGAGGGGUAACUGGAAUUCUCGGUGUAGCAGUGAAAUGCGUAGAUAUCGAGAGGAAGACCAACGGCGAAGGCAGGUUACUGGACAUUUACUGACGCUGAGGCUCGAAGGCUAGGGUAGCGAAAGGGAUUAGAUACCCCUGUAGUCCUAGCAGUAAACGAUGUGCGCUUGGUGUGGAAGGUUCGACCCUUUCCGUGCCGGAGCUAACGCGUUAAGCGCACCGCCUGGGGAGUACGGUCGCAAGACUUAAACUCAAAGAAAUUGACGGGGACCCGCACAAGCGGUGGAGUAUGUGGCUUAAUUCGAUGCAACGCGAAGAACCUUACCUAGGCUUGACAUGUAUCGCUAAGCAGUUGAAAGGCUGUGACUCUUCGGAGACUUUACACAGGUGCUGCAUGGCCGUCGUCAGCUCGUGUCGUGAGAUGUUCGGUUAAGUCCGGCAACGAGCGCAACCCCUGUGACUAGUUACUAACAUUAAGUUGAGGACUCUAGUUAGACUGCCCAGAUCAACUGGGAGGAAGGUGGGGAUGACGUCAGGUCAGUAUGGCCCUUACGCCUAGGGCUGCACACGUACUACAAUGUCCAGUACAAUGAGAACCGAUCCCGCGAGGAGGAGGAAAUCUACAAAACUGGGCUCAGUUCGGAUUGGAGGCUGCAACUCGCCUCCAUGAAGUUGGAAUCGCUAGUAAUGGCACAUCAGCUACGGUGCCGUGAAUACGUUCCCGGGUCUUGUACACACCGCCCGUCACAUCAUGGAAGCCGACAGCACCCGAAGUAUCUGCGCCAACAUUGGCAAGGUCCUAAGGUGUAGUUGGUAACUGGGAUGAAGUCGUAACAAGGUAACC